GCCUUGUACACACCGCCCGUCAAGCCACGAGAAUUGGGGGGGCCCGAAGUCGCUGAGCUAACCGUAAGGAAGCAGGCGCCGAAGGUCAACUUGAUGAUUGGGACUAAGUCGUAACAAGGUAGCCGUAGGGGAACCUGCGGCUGGAUCACCUCCUUUCUAAGGA
rnacentral:rRNA from 1 species